AGACUAAGUAAGCUUCGUAGUGUUGGGUUUUAUUGGUGUUAUGAGCCGGUCCUUUUUGCCUUUUCAAGGGGUGAAACUGAACUGGGUUCUCUCAGGGGAGGGAACAAGGACCUGAAAGAGAAUUCGAAAUGCGAGAGAAAUCACGAAGCCAAGUUGAGGUCCAAUCAAGGCUUCAACUUUAUUUAAAAGGCCAGGAUUUUUAUAGUCACAUAUUUGUAUAACAUAAACACUGCAGAAAAGGUCAGGUGCCAAAGUCCCCAGCAACUAGGAUGUCUUCAGGCAGUAAGCCUGUUGUAUCAUAGCCGCUUCUUCAAAGAAAGAAUGGACAAUCUUCAAAGAGCUUUUGUCUUAGGUCCCCAGGUGGUGGCCUCCAAGCAGAGACUGCCAGAAGUCAGAUGACUGAGCUGAAGCGGAGAGAGCCUACUAGAGAACAUCUAAUCCCUGAAAAUAGAGUUAUAGACAGCUGCAAGCUGCCUCCUGUGGGUUCAGUGAGCUGAACUCUGGUACUCUGCAUGAGAGUUGCAGACAUGUCUGAAAUCUGACAAAGAUGCAACUGAGGUCUCUGAAUGUGACACCAGAGUGGUCUUUGCCACCUCCUGAUCUAGUCUCCAGGUAUGAAUCUGAAGCUCUCUGAUGAACAAGACACCUUGGCACCAUGGAACACCACCAACCAAAAAUAUCUCAUAUGUGGUAGCUUUGGCUUGGGAUUCCCCAACUCAGAGUCUUUUCCAGCAAUCCAACAAGACCUGGUCACCUUCCUUUCACACAUCAAUGUAAUUGUUGCCCUCAAAGAUUAUCACUUUUCAAAUGCUUUGAGAGUGCUGAAUGCUGUCCUGGUCUCAUCUCAGCCUCCAGCUUGCCCUGGGUCCCUGGGUAUCAGGGUGUCUCUGUGGCACAACUUCACCUGAAACAAUCUAGCAAUGUUAUCAGAUGCUUGAAACCAUGAACCCCAAGACAUAAGAAUUUCCCCAGGAAUAUUCUCCUGGAGGAAGGAAUGGCUGAAGCCCCAGGGACAACCAGCAACAGAGCUCUCUGCCAGAGGAGGAACUUAUGUCCUAAAGAAGGAUUUAUAAGUUGUGAGACAACUGUAUGGACAGACCUGGAACUGAGGCAAUGUUGGACAGGGUAGUGAUGAGGGGUUGGUUGGAUGUGUGAGACCACACUUUGGCUGAAUGCUAGACCAUGAAUAUCUCUUGCAUUUAGUUUAACCCUUACCCUCAUGUUAGGCCCCAAAGACAGACAGACCUUGAGCAGCCAUUGAUCUCUUUGUCCCUCCACCUGAUAUGGCCACAUUAAAUAAAUCAUCUUUUGUAACAUCUUC